rnacentral:rRNA from 1 species
AGAGAGAGACAUGCGCGCAUAUCAAUAAGCGGAGGAAAAGAAACUAACAAGGAUUCCCUUAGUAACGGCGAGUGAAGCGGGAAGAGCUCAAAUUUGAAAUCUUCAAGGUUUUACCUCGACGAAUUGUAGUUUAAAGAAGUGUUUUCUGCUGAAGUUUUGGUAAAAGUUCUUUGGAAAUAGGACAUCAUAGAGGGUGAGAAUCCCGUAUUUGACCAUUAUUUUCAGCUUUGUGAUACACUUUCAAAGAGUCGGAUUGUUUGGGAAUGCAGUCCAAAAUGGGUGGUAAAUUUCAUCUAAAGCUAAAUAUUGGCGAGAGACCGAUAGCGAACAAGUACCGUGAGGGAAAGAUGAAAAGAACUUUGAAAAGAGAGUUAAACAGUACGUGAAAUUGUCAAAAGGGAAGCGUUUGACACCAGUGUUGUUUUCUCGAAAAUCAAUUAAAAAUGGCUCGAUUUUGUAUUGUUGAGACCUUAAAAGCUCACUGUACAUUUUUCGUGUCUUUUUUAAUGCACUUUUCGUUUAACAAGUCAACAUCAGUUUCUUUUGUUGUAAAAGGGUCAUUGGAAGGUGGCUUUCUUUUCGGAGAAAGUGUUUAUAGCCUUUGGCCUCUGCAAUCGAAGAGACUGAGGUCUGCAGCGUAGACUCUUCGGGGUUAGAUACAUUUGUGCUAAGUUAUAGCUUUUAUAGACAACUUGUUGACUAUGAUUAGUCAUUGUAGCUUACUCGCUUAUGCUAUUUUACCUACGCUUAGGAUGUUGAGUCGUAGAGCACGCAG